AUUGUUUUGUAGUUCAUAAGUAGGAUGACUGGGUUGUCACAUGGUUGUGUGAGGUGUGCCUCUCUCAAACCUUGUCACAGUAUUGGCACAAUAUCCAAGUGAGG
rnacentral:snoRNA from 1 species